CUGGUUGAUCCUGCCAGAGGUCACUGCUAUCGGUGUUCGACUAAGCCAUGCGAGUCAAAUGUUCUUCGUGAACAUGGCGUACUGCUCAGUAACACGUGGAUAACCUGCCCUUAGGUCUGGCAUAACCCCGGGAAACUGGGGAUAAUUCCGGAUAGAUCAUAGAUGCUGGAAUGCCCUGUGAUCCAAAGCUUUUGUGCCUAAGGAUGGGUCUGCGGUCUAUCAGGUUGUAGUGGGUGUAAUGUACCUACUAGCCUACGACGGAUACGGGUUGUGGGAGCAAGAGCCCGGAGAUGGAUUCUGAGACAUGAAUCCAGGCCCUACGGGGCGCAGCAGGCGCGAAAACUUUACAAUGCGGGAAACCGCGAUAAGGGGACACCGAGUGCCAGCAUCCUAUGUUGGCUGUCCAUAUGUCUAAAUCACAUGUGUUAGCAAGGGCCGGGCAAGACCGGUGCCAGCCGCCGCGGUAACACCGGCGGCCCGAGUGGUGGCCACUAUUAUUGGGUCUAAAGGGUCCGUAGCCGGUUUGGUCAGUCUUCCGGGAAAUCUGACGGCUCAACCGUUAGGCUUUCGGGGGAUACUACCAGGCUUGGGACCGGGAGAGGUAAGAGGUACUACGGGGGUAGGAGUGAAAUCUUGUAAUCCCUGUGGGACCACCAGUGGCGAAGGCGUCUUACCAGAACGGGUCCGACGGUGAGGGACGAAAGCUGGGGGCACGAACCGGAUUAGAUACCCGGGUAGUCCCAGCUGUAAACUAUGCUCGCUAGGUGUCAGGGACGGUGCGACCGUUUCUGGUGCCGCAGGGAAGCCGUGAAGCGAGCCACCUGGGAAGUACGGUCGCAAGGCUGAAACUUAAAGGAAUUGGCGGGGGAGCACUACAACGGGUGGAGCCUGCGGUUUAAUUGGAUUCAACGCCGGG
rnacentral:rRNA from 1 species